GGGGAUUUAGCUCAGUGGUAGAGCGCUUGCCUAGGAAGCGUAAGGCCCUGGGUUCAGUCCCCA
rfam:Rattus norvegicus chromosome 2, whole genome shotgun sequence.